GUUUUCUUCGCGGGGAAAAGCAGACGACGGGAACCGCACAAUAAUGUUGAAUUUCAUUUUCGGCUUAUUCCACGAUUCUAUAUUCCUUUACUGUUUAGAUAUUAUAGUCUGUAUUUUUCUUUUAAUUUCAAUGAGACCAAUGUUAAAAUAUAGCCGAUUAUUUACCAAUUAAGUGGUAGAGUCCCAAUGUUAAUUUAAACAAACGCAGCGGGUCGAUGCUCGAUGGUAGGAUUGACUGUCGCUGGACUCGCUAACGUUGAGUGGCAAGAGGGGAAGGGAAGCCCCGGUAACCACACUUGGACGUUUGCCUGGCAGUGUUAUAUACUCUCUACAUGUGUGUGAAGGGCUAUUGUCCCAAAAAUGCAACUGAUUGACAUGUUAAUGGAACGUGGAUUUUCUAUGGUAAAUUUUCUGAAUCUCGCCCGUCACACACGACAGACUAAACUCGAUUACUGCAGGUGGUAUCACUGUUGCCAACACAGGUGAUCCUCCAUCGGGGGCACUUUCCAUUAUAAACUACAAGUAUUUCAAAUAAAGAUUAAAUCAAUAA